rnacentral:rRNA from 1 species
AGACGGAGGGGGCUAGCGUUGUUCGGAUUUACUGGGCGUAAAGCGCGCGUAGGCGGCCGGUCAAGUUGGAGGUGAAAGCCCGGGGCUCAACUCCGGAAUUGCAUACGAAACUGCCCAGCUAGAGUCUCGGAGAGGAGGGCGGAAUUCCCGGUGUAGAGGUGAAAUUCGUAGAUAUUGGGAAGAACACCAGUGGCGAAGGCGGCCAUCUGGAUCGGUUCUGACGCUGAGGCGCGAAAGCGUGGGGAGCAAACAGGAUUAGAAACCCCAGUAGUCC